CCUACGGGAGGCAGCAGUGGGGAAUAUUGGGCAAUGGAGGAAACUCUGACCCAGCGACGCCGCGUGCGGGAUGAAGGCCUUCGGGUUGUAAACCGCUUUCAGUAGGGAAGAAGCGAAAGUGACGGUACCUACAAAAGAAGCACCGGCUAACUAUGUGCCAGCAGCCGCGGUAAUACAUAGGGUGCAAGCGUUGUCCGGAAUUAUUGGGCGUAAAGAGCUCGUAGGUCGUUUGUUACGUCGGAUGUGAAAACCUGAGGCUCAACCUCAGGCCUGCAUUCGAUACGGGCAAACUAGAGUUUGGUAGGGGAGACUGGAAUUCCUGGUGUAGCGGUGGAAUGCGCAGAUAUCAGGAGGAACACCAAUGGCGAAGGCAGGUCUCUGGGCCAAUACUGACACUGAGGAGCGAAAGUCUGGGGAGCGAACAGGAUUAGAUACCCUGGUAGUCCAGACCGUAAACGGUGGGCACUAGUUGUGGGAACCUUCCACGGUUUCUGCGACGCAGCUAACGCAUUAAGUGCCCCGCCUGGGGAGUACGNUCGCAAGAUUAAACUUAAGAUAGUACGCGNGAGAGAGCGACGACGACGACGACGGAGGAGGAG
rnacentral:rRNA from 1 species